rnacentral:rRNA from 1 species
UACGUAGGGUGCGAGCGUUGUCCGGAAUUAUUGGGCGUAAAGAGCUCGUAGGCGGUGUGUCGCGUCGGUCGUGAAAACUUGGGGCUUAACCCUGAGCUUGCGGUCGAUACGGGCAUCACUGGAGUUCGGCAGGGGAGACUGGAAUUCCUGGUGUAGCGGUGAAAUGCGCAGAUAUCAGGAGGAACACCGGUGGCGGAGGCGGGUCUCUGGGCCGAUACUGACGCUGAGGAGCGAAAGCGUGGGGAGCGAACAGG